UACGUAGGCAGCAAGCGUUGUUCGGAGUUACUGGGCGUAAAGGGUGCGCAGGCGGCCCUGCGCGUCGCGCGUGAAAUCUCCCGGCUCAACUGGGAGGGUGGUCGCGAGACGGCAGGGCUUGAGGCUCGGGGAGGGGCGUGGAAUUCCGGGUGGAGCGGUGAAAUGCGUAGAGAUCCGGAGGAACACCAACGGCGUAGGCAGCGCCCUAGACGAGACCUGACGCUCAGGCACGAAAGCGCGGGGAGCGAACAGG
rnacentral:rRNA from 1 species